UACGGAGGGUGCGAGCGUUGUCCGGAAUCACUGGGCGUAAAGGGCGCGUAGGCGGCGCGGGAAGUCAUCGGUGAAAGUUCAGGGCUCAACUCUGAAUCGGCCGGUGAUACUCUCGUGCUCGAGCACUGUAGAGGCAGGUGGAAUUCCGGGUGUAGCGGUGGAAUGCGUAGAGAUCCGGAAGAACACCGGUGGCGAAGGCGGCUCACUGGCUCAUUACUGACGCUCAGGCGCGACAGCGUGGGGAUCAAACAGG
rnacentral:rRNA from 1 species